UACGAGGGGCGCAAACUUUAUUCGGAAUUACUGGGCUUAAAGAGUUCGUAGGCGGCGCAGAAAGUAGGGUGUGAAAGCCCUCGGCUUAACCGAGGAAUUGCGCUCUAAACUACUGUGCUUGAGGAACCUAGAGGUGAGCAGAACUGAUGGUGGAGCGGUGAAAUGCGUUGAUAUCAUCAGGAAUACCGGAGGCGAAGGCGGCUCACUGGGGGUUUUCUGACGCUGAGGAGCGAAAGCCAGGGGAGCAAACGGG
rnacentral:rRNA from 1 species